GCCUCGGGCUGUACUGAAUGUAGCUCCUUCCUCCGAGCCUGGGGAUUGAGCCGCGAUCGCCCUCCCCAGCCCGCAGCCCCACCGCCGGGAAACUUUGCCGAUCCGGAGACUCAGGCCUGACAGCCGAACUGACGAACGGACCAACCAGCCAACCUCCGCACCUUCCUCCUUCAAUCUCAAUCCCACUCCACCCCCCUCGCUGCCUUCCCCUCCCAUCGACCUGGAUCGCGCUGUGUCUGACUGAUGGGGCAGCGGGCCACUCGGAAGAGGGGAGUCUGACUGACCGGGUUUUGGAGACUUGAAAUGUAUCAAAGUACUGAAGAUCACACAUCAACAACCAGUAGAGCUGAUCUGACUACUUAUUUGAAUUUUGCUUUCUCUUGUACCUUGCUUCAAACUUACGUAUCUUUCACACUGUGCACUGAAUCAGUUGCUGAUAUGUGUUCACGAUGAGUGGGAUGGGAGAAAAUACCUCUGACCCAUCUAGGGCAGAGACAAGAAAGCGCAAGGAAUGUCCUGAUCAGCUUGG